UAAAUACCUCUUUCUCUUCCGUAUUCAUUAAUUUUUAACUCUUGCAUCUCACUAGCACUUUCCCCUUUCAAUAGAAAAAAAAUUAUCAAUAAACUUGUACUCUUACCAUUGUCCAACUCUUAAUAAAUUCUUACAUCUCCAGUAUAAGAACUUUGAGAUUCAGAAGGAGACGUACAGGGGCCAGCAGUAGAGCCAGAUUUACUUUUCUCGUCUCCAUUUGAUGCGAACCCUCCUCCAUAAAAAGGAGAUAUGCCAGCUGGUGCUAUGCAGAGAAGAUCGUAUCACAGGAGCGGAGGAUGCUUGAUCUUGGUGUUUGAUUGUCGGUCAUGACCGAGGUCUUGACUCGAGCCAGAUUCCGUUACCUCUGUAGACUUUUGCUUGAUUUACAUUAUUACUACAUCCCCAUUGAAACCCCAAUUAACAGGUAACUCGUGCUUUUAAAUCUUUGGGGGUAUUUAUUAACCUUUUCUGCAAUCAAAUUUGGUCCCAGAAAUCUUCAUUCAUUUUGGUAUUCUGUAUUUUCGUCCGUUUUAAGUUUGAGUACCGUUAUUCCCUUAACCUUACCGCUUAAAUUACCUUUCUUGAUAUGAACCAAAUGUGAUAUGGCAUUCAUCAAAAAAAAAAAAAAAAAAAAGUGAUAUGGCACCACUUGUUGAACCUCGAUUGGUAUCCCAAUUUUUUUUUAAAAUACAUUCAAAAUAAAAAAAGCGUCCAAAAAUACAAGAAAAUGAAGAUUCAAAUCUUAGCUUUACCUUUGUAUUUUGUAUUUUUUUAUCUAAGCAGUAAGUUUUAGAUUAUCAAGUAUCAUUAUUCUUUAAAUUUUCUGUUCACUCGUGUACAUUAUUAAUUGAGUUUUGUUAUAUACAAACGAAUUUGGAUAUUGAUCUGCAUACCAAAACUGUUAUCUUCAUAUUCAAAAUUUAAAUUUGUACCAUUUUCAUUAAAGGUUGAUUUUCUGACUAAUUACGUUGGAUGGAUGCGCAUAUUAGUGUGUAGAAUCGCUUACUACCAUAUUUUUCCUUAUUAAUUGGACUUAGGUUUUAGCUUUUCUCCACAGAGCGAAAUCCAGGGUUUUGGGACUUUGUGAGAGCUUGCUCAUUGCCGUGUUGAUAAACUCCGUAGGUUUUGUUAGUUACACAAUAUUUUGUAGGGGUAGUGUUAACGUAUGGAAUUUGGGAGUUCAAGUUUGUGGGGGAAUGAUUUGAAAUUGUGUUUCUUAAAGGCGGAUUUAUAACUAAAAAGUUAUUUACGACCAGGGUUUUGGGGUAUUAGGAAAUCAAUAUAUUGGCACCCACUUUUUGCUUAUUCAUGCCUCCUUUGAUAAGGUUUCAUCUCAUCUUAUUUUAUUUUAUCUCAACAUUUAAACACUAUUAAAACAUAAUACUUUUUAAUUUAUC